CGCCUCCUUAGCGGGGGAUAACUAUUGGAAACGAUAGCUAAUACCGCAUAAAAGUACGAUAUCGCAUGAUGUUGACUUGAAAGGUGCAAUUGCAUCACUAAGAGAUGGACCUGCGUUGUAUUAGCUAGUUGGUGAGGUAACGGCUCACCAAGGCGACGAUACAUAGCCGACCUGAGAGGGUGAUCGGCCACACUGGGACUGAGACACGGCCCAG
rnacentral:rRNA from 1 species